UACGUAGGGUGCAAGCAUUAAUCGGAAUUAUUGGGCGUAAAGGGCGCGUAGGCGGAGAUGUAAGUCAGAUGUGAAAUCCCGGGGCUCAACCCCGGAACAGCAUUUGAAACUGCGUUUCUAGAGGGUAGGCGGAGAAAACGGAAUUCCACAAGUAGCGGUGAAAUGCGUAGAUAUGUGGAAGAACACCAGUGGCGAAGGCGGUUUUCGAGCUCAUACCUGACGAUAAAGCGCGAAAGCAAGGGGAGCAAACAGG
rnacentral:rRNA from 1 species